rnacentral:rRNA from 1 species
ACGCUCGACACCUACGGUAGGCAGCAGUGGGGAAUAUUGCACAAUGGGGGAAACCCUGAUGCAGCGACGCCGCGUGAGUGAAGAAGUAUUUCGGUAUGUAAAGCUCUAUCAGCAGGGAAGAAAAUGACGGUACCUGAGUAAGAAGCCCCGGCUAACUACGUGCCAGCAGCCGCGGUAAUCUGAGCGGGCUGGCAAGGC